GGGGAUGUAACUCAACAGCAAAAUCCAUGUUUUGCAUGUAUGAGGUCCUGGGUUCAAUCCCCAGCAUCCCCC
rnacentral:tRNA from 1 species